AUGGGUACAGGGGAAUUGGAAUGGAGUUUUUGACGUUUACAUGUAGGUCCGUAAUUUCAAUUAUUCUGGAAAUAGUUAGUGGUAUUUUAGUUCCAGAAUCUAUAAAUUUAGGGGUUAUAUUCCGAAACCCCCAAUAUAAAGAGACGAAAUUCCGUAGUCCCGAAUAAGUAAAGACAAAAUUCUGUGUUAAAGAUUCUACCAUUCCUCAAUAAUAUCAAAUUGGAAUAUGGGAUAUUCUUUCAAUUUUUAAGGUUAAAGAAACAUGGAAAAAAACUAAUCCAUGCAUGUUUCAUAUUAUUUAUAUUUUAUUUAUCUGUAAAGAGAAAGAUUAAAGUUCGUGAAAUGAAUACGCAGACAGGACUGCCUCUUGCGAUGCCCAGUUCUUGAUUUGUCAAAAGUUGGUGAAACGGAGAAAUGAAUACGCAGACGGGACUGCCCCUUCCGAUGACCAGUCCUUGAUUUGGCAGUCUACGUAUCGUUUUUGGAUUGUUCUAAUGAAGUAAUAUGCAAUACUCAGACUCUGUUCACAAAAAAAAACUAGUUUACUAGAAUUAUUCCUUCUUUACCUUCAGUAUCGCUUUUCCUUUUUCUGCAAGAGCCUGUUUUUAACUAUAGAGAUCCCUGAUGAUUAUCAUUUCUAUGUUAAUGUAAUCGAGAAACAUCUCCCGUUGAGAUACUGAGUUAUAUCCAGGAAGAAUAGUUUAAAAG
rnacentral:lncRNA from 1 species